rnacentral:snRNA from 1 species
CCCGGUAUCCAUCCCGGUU